CCUGUAGGAAAAGAAAAUAAUUUAAUGAUUCCCCUAGUAGUGGCGAGCGAACGGGGAACAGCCCAAACCUAUGACGUAGUAAUGCGUGAUAGGGGUAGUAGGGUCACGAUAUCGUACUUUGAAAGUGAGGAGAAUGUUCUGGAAAGUUCAAUAAUAUAAGGUGAUAAUCCUGUAUCCGAAGCUUGAUGAGGCGUAGUGAAUCCCUGAGUAGUGCGGAGCACGAGUAAUUCUGCAUGAAUCUGCCGGGACCAUCCGGUAAGGCUAAAUNNNNNNNNNNGUACCAGUACCGUGAGGGAAAGGUGAAAAGCACUCCGAUUAGGAGAGUGAAAUAGUUCCUGAAACCAUACGCCUACAAGCGGUCGGAGCAUAUUUUAUAUGUGACGGCGUGCCUUUUGCAUAAUGAACCUACGAGUUACCAUGUCCAGCGAGGUUAAGGGGUUCAGCCCCGUAUCCGUAGUGAAAGCGAGCCUAAAUAGGGCGUAUAGUUGGAUGGGGUAGACGCGAAACCAAGUGAUCUACACUUGACCAGGUUGAAGU
rnacentral:rRNA from 1 species